rnacentral:rRNA from 1 species
GAUGAACGCUGGCGGCGUGCUUAACACAUGCAAGUCGAACGAUGAAGCCCAGCUUGCUGGGUGGAUUAGUGGCGAACGGGUGAGUAACACGUGAGUAACCUGCCCUUUACUCUGGGAUAAGCCUGGGAAACUGGGUCUAAUACUGGAUAUGACUUCUCAUCGCAUGGUGGGGGGUGGAAAGAUUUAUUGGUCUUGGAUGGACUCGCGGCCUAUCAGCUUGUUGGUGAGGUAAUGGCUCACCAAGGCGACGCCGGGUAGCCGGCCUGAGAGGGUGACCGGCCACACUGGGACUGAGACACGGCCCAGACUCCGACGGGAGGCAGCAGUGGGGAAUAGUGCACAAUGGGCGCAAGCCGGAUGCAGCGACGCCGCGUGAGUGAUGACGGCCUUCGGGUUGUAAACCUCUUUCAGUAGGGAAGAAGCGAGAGUGACGGUACCUGCAGAAGAAGCGCCGGCUAACUACGUG